UGUUCAUAUAGAUAUGGUUAAAGUGACUAUGCAUGAUUGAGGUAGUAUGUACAUAUAGAUAUGGUUAAAGUGACUAUGCAUGAUUGAGGUAGUAUGUACAUAUAGAUAUGGUUAAAGUGACUAUGCAUGAUUGAGGUAGUAUGUACAUAUAGAUAUGGUUAAAGUGACUAUGCAUGAUUGAGGUAGUAUGUACAUAUAGAUAUGGUUAAAGUGACUAUGCAUGAUUGAGGUAGUAUGUACAUAUAGAUAUGGUUAAAGUGACUAUGCAUGAUUGAGGUAGUAUGUACAUAUAGAUAUGGUUAAAGUGACUAUGCAUGAUUGAGGUAGUAUGUACAUAUAGAUAUGGUUAAAGUGACUAUGCAUGAUUGAGGUAGUAUGUACAUAUAGAUAUGGUUAAAGUGACUAUGCAUGAUUGAGGUAGUAUGUACAUAUAGAUAUGGUUAAAGUGACUAUGCAUGAUUGAGGUAGUAUGUACAUAUAGAUAUGGUUAAAGUGACUAUGCAUGAUUGAGGUAGUAUGUACAUAUAGAUAUGGUUAAAGUGACUAUGCAUGAUUGAGGUAGUAUGUACAUAUAGAUAUGGUUAAAGUGACUAUGCAUGAUUGAGGUAGUAUGUACAUAUAGAUAUGGUUAAAGUGACUAUGCAUGAUUG